GGAGUAAAAUCCACCUCUAUUAUAGAGUUCCUCAAUUAUAGAGACAAAAAUAGAGGACCAUUGGAGAUGCUCUUAGAAACUAUAAAAUACAUUGAAGAAAUUUCAAAACCCAAUGAAAAAAGCAAAGUGAUGAGUCAAUGAUCCCUUCAAAAGAUCAGAGCUCUAUUCAAGUCGUUUCUUCACGAGGGAGAGUUGUUGUUACUGGGAUGGUAUCCGGUUCCAGAAUUCAGGUUUCCUAUGUUUCUUAAAAAGAAGCCGUCUAAGGGAAAACAUAAUGACACUUGGGGAAUUUCAUUCCAAGUCAUGGGAGGUAAAAUCUACUCCAAACAAGAGUAACCUGAAUUCAAGUCUCUCUCAGUGGAACAAUGAUGUGAACCGAGUUUCAUGUGUCAAAUCUGCUUCAGGACCUUUCAAGAAAGAACAGCAAGGACCAUUUAAAACCGAUUUUCAAUGAGGUGGAUCAAGACUACAUGGAGUCAGAGAACUUAGACUCAUCUGGAGAUAGCUCAGACGAUAAUAAUCGAGUUGAUCUACCACGCAAAGUGCAAUGAGAAGGAAGCAUCAUCGAGCUUGGACUGUCAUUGAAGUUAAAAAAACUUGUCGAAGGUGUGACGAAAUAUGGAGUAGGGAAAUGGUCUGAGAUCAAAAAGGUUUCAUUUUCAUCAUUCGUGUACCGUACCCCUGUGGAUCUCAAGGGACAAAUGGCGAAAUUUAUGAAGAGCAUGCUUUUCUCAAACUCCGUCAAACAAGAUGGGAUGUCCAAAGAAGCAGGGGUCAAUGGCCAUUCCUACACACAUUAUGUUGCAGGUAAGAGAGCUUGCUCAGAAACAGUCACCGGUGCGCAAGGGUAGUAGAGUAGUAGUGAAGGGAUCAUCAAGAAAUGGUUUCUUGUAGCGUUUUGUUUCGUAUAAAUUGACCGGCCUGGAUGUGAGAUUAACUACUCUUUUAGUUUGGAUUUUGUAGACUUAAAGGUAUUGUGAUUUAAACCGGAUUACUAACUGGUGUUAUUGUAAUUGAUAUGAGAUGGUUCCUUACUAUG